GGAGAGGUGGCAGAGUGGUCUAAUGCACACGCUUGGAAAGCGUGCGUACUGAAAGGUACCGGGGGUUCGAAUCCCUUCCUCUCCGCCA
rnacentral:tRNA from 1 species